GGAAUAUUGGACAAUGGGUGAGAGCCUGAUCCAGCCAUCCCGCGUGAAGGAUGAAGGACCUAUGGUUUGUAAACUUCUUUUGUACAGGGAUAAACCUAUCUACGUGUAGAUAGCUGAAGGUACUGUACGAAUAAGCACCGGCUAACUCCGUGCCAGCAGCCGCGGUAAUACGGAGGGUGCGAGCGUUAUCCGGAUUUAUUGGGUUUAAAGGGUCCGUAGGCGGAUUGGUAAGUCAGUGGUGAAAUCCUACAGCUCAACUGUAGAACUGCCAUUGAUACUGCUAGUCUUGAGUGUAGUUGAAGUAGCUGGAAUGAGUAGUGUAGCGGUGAAAUGCAUAGAUAUUACUCAGAACACCGAUAGCGAAGGCAGGUUACUAAGUUACAACUGACGCUGAGGGACGAAAGCGUGGGGAGCGAACAG
rnacentral:rRNA from 1 species